AGCCCUGAGGUGUAGUACAUAUUAGAUUGCAAAUCUUAAGUAGUAAAUUAAAUUUUGCCGGGGCUU
rnacentral:tRNA from 1 species